GGGAACGUUCUCGGGGGGGCCUUGCGUUUCCGGGCGAGCCCCCGCCCAAGUGACCAGAGACACCUUCCCGGGUUCCCCCACCCCUUUCUGUGUCCCCUCCUCAGUUCCAGCCCCUUCUCUCGCCAAAGCCCCUUCUGCAUGUCCCCCCCCCCCGCCCCAACCGGGCAGGCUGCGAGGCUGGGGUGAGUCUGCAGGUGUAAGCUGGGGACUCUCACGGGGCUGGCGAGCAGAGGGGCCCAAAGCUACCAGGGUCUUAAAAGGUCAAUUAAUGCCACUGGGGCCACAGCCGGGCCCCCACUGGCCUUUCACUGUCCCCUGGGGCCAUCCUUCAAUCCGCAUGGAAGUCUGAAAGCAUCUCCGUGGAGACGUCCAUCAGUCCUCUGGACAGAGAGCGCGGUGCGCCCCAGCUCUGGAGUGGGUCCGUCACUUGUCUGCGAGCUGGCCCGCCAGUCAUGAUGAGGCUCGGGUGUCUUCUCAUCAGGACAACCAAACAGCCACACCCCCCUGGGUCCCCCUGUGACCUGAGGCCUGAGACCACGUGGCCGUCCCCAAGGAUGUCCGACUGUUGCCUUAGCUCCUGACGCCAGCCCUGUGCCUAGAUCAUGUGCCACCUGUUUGCGGUGAUAUUUUCUUCAGCUCCCCGGGGUGACCACCGGGCCACACCUGAGCUGGCUCUUGCCGCUUCCUCCCAAUUAAAUGCCGCUUGCUUCGCAUCGGAGCCCCGGCCCGGGGUCUGACGGUGAUGACGGCAGCGAGGACACCACGGUGCUUACUCCUGUACGUACGUUGCUUCUCUUUGCUUAUGAGAAAACAGGAGCCAGAAAGAAAGGGACAGGAUUGUGAGGAAUCCCUGUGUAUCCAUCACCCAAGUCACGGCCCAUCUUGUUCGCUCGGUUCCGCCCACUUUCGCUGGCGUUCAUUUGUUUGCUGGAGAAUUUUGAAGCCGAUCCUAGAGGCCGUGACAUUUGGGUCAGAACGAAUCUGGGUCAUUUUGAACUGGUUUGAUAUGUUCGCGUGUAAGACGCAGCCGUCAGGUCACUGUCGCGCCUAGCGCGUGUUAACUUCAUGACCUGUACCGGAUGGUCUUUAACCAGCUUGGUUUGUCCAAUCGGCGCCCCCUGAGGCCUGCAUAUUCACUCAUCGGUUGUCUCCUUGGACCCCUCCAUUCCUUUCCCUCCCCCACUUAGAGACCCCUGGCCGUCUGCCCCGUAGAAUUCUCCGUCUUCCGGACUGCGAUGAAUGCUGCCUUAUGAUGUCAGGUGACUUAUUCCUCCCUGUUCCAUAUUUUCUGUAAGCUGUUAUUCAGGCAGAGGUGUGUGAAGGCUGGAGAACCACUGGGGACAGAUCUCCUGGAGGAAGAGGAAUUAUAUCACUGACGUCGCUCAGGGCGGCCGGUGCCCGGUGAUAAUAAAAAGCAAACUGAC